AUGCCUCCGCCCUUGGUCGUGUCAAGAUCCUCCAGGAGAUGCACCACCUCCUUCAUCUCGGGCCGCUUAUCAGGGUCAGCGUCCCAGCAUCUCUUCAUGAUGUUCGCCAACCGGGUUGGGCAGCAGCGUGGGAUCUUAGUACGGUAUGUCACAGCAGUAGAUCGCCCACAAGCAAAUCCCAAAGCUGUAAACAUCGCACUUUCUGUCGUAUGGCUUGUCCUCAAUAACCUGCAUAGAGAAAACAACGACAACAUUUUUUUUUGUGAAGAAACACAAGAAUUGAGCACAAAAAGCGUUGAAAUCGAUUGGUAG
rnacentral:rRNA from 1 species